GAUGAACGCUAGCUACAGGCUUAACACAUGCAAGUCGAACGGAGUGGCAAACGGGUGAGUAACACGUAAACAACCUGCCUUCAGGAUGGGGACAACAGACGGAAACGACUGCUAAUACCGAAUACCUGAAGAGGGGUUUGCGUCUGAUUAGGCAGUUGGUGGGGUAACGGCCCACCAAACCAACGAUCAGUAGCCGGUCUGAGAGGAUGAACGGCCACACUGGAACUGAGACACGGCCCAGACUCCUACGGGAGGCAGCAGUGGGGAAUAUUGCACAAUGGGCGCAAGCCUGAUGCAGCCAUGCCGCGUGUAUGAAGAAGGCCCUAGGGUUGUAAAGUACUUUCAGUCGGGAGGCGUUACCGACAGAAGAAGCACCGGCUAACUCCGUGCCAGCAGCCGCGGUAAUAC
rnacentral:rRNA from 1 species